UACCUUUAUCCAAACCCGAGUUUACGGCAUGGAAGGGCGUACAGUUCAUAAAGCAGCCGACCGCAACUGAGCUUGUAUAGGUGCUGUUUUUUGCAACAAUGCCGAUGACAUCAUCGUGACGUAGACCCAUUUUCUUGAAAUGCAGCGCCAGACGUGUAGACCAGGUUAGCAGUUCACGAUUGGUAACUUCGCGGCCAUCAAUAUCCGACACCU